ensembl:lncRNA
AGUGAGCUAGAAGGAGAGGAGAAGUGUGGUGUCUGUGCUGCAAAACAAGUGAAGAACAUCUGUUGAGAAGAGGGGCCACUGACCAUUGCUGACAGAGUAUCUCUGCAGACCGCAAGAACGCAGGGCCGAGACACUGCCUCCUGGCACGCACUCAGCCAGCACCAGCUACGGAUCAAACACCAGUUCUGCUGCCCAUGCCAGAUGCCCACUGAGGUGAUAUGAUGAAACCAGAGCUUUAAGAGGCCUUGAACUUCUUCCAAGUCACAGUGCAGACAUUUGACCCCAGGACUGCACAUCUCCAGGAUGAACUCCUUGUAUUUCUAUCUUCUUCCCUGAAAAUAUGUCUCUGUCUUGAUCCCUGGGUCUUGGAGGAAGAAAAGGUCUUUCAACUCAAAGUUUCCUCCUCCAUCUUGAUCUUGAUUUCCUCCUUUUUCUCUGCACUUUGCUUCUUUGGCUCUGCCCCUUCCCCUCUCAUAUGGCUCAGUCCCUCCUCCCUACAAAGAUGCGCGGUGUCCCUGGCUUCUCCAACACACUCCUGCGUGAUCUGCCUCCUUUGUUUCACUGUUAACUUGUCAAUUUGGCCACCUUUUCUGCUCCUUCAUGAGCUUCUUGACCUGUCCUGUCACCUGUUCCAUGAACCAAGCCUAGCGCCCUCCCUGGCUCUGUGUGUCCUUGGCUCCCUUCUACUUCCUCUUGGAUGGGCACCUGGACUGUCUCCUCCCCUUCUAUUUCUCUGCCUGGGGCAGUGCCCUGAAUAGCAAGGGUAAUGGUGAUGACCUCACCUUCAGAACUGGGCAAAAAUCAGACAACUCCUUCCCAGGGCUCAGGGAGAUGGCUGAAGCAGGGCUCCCAGGGAAAUUCCUUUGGGCUGGAGUUCUGUUCAGCAGAAUGACGAUAUACUCUUACCAUUUUUAGAACAGUGAUUACCAAAUGGAAAUACCCUAUUCACUAGAGACUGAACCCGAAGUUACUAGCUUCAUAUCUAAAUGUCAUUCAGCUCUUCACUGUAACCAAGGCUCUGAGAAAUAGAGACACAUGACUACAUGCUAGGGGAUUCAAUUCCUGUUUUUCCUUCCUGUUUGUCCUCUGUUCAAAUCAAAAAAGAAAUACCUAAAAGAAAUAACUUCUUGGUAUUGUUAUCCUGAUAACAUAUUAUUACUACAUCUGUGG